GGAGGAGUGGCCGAGCGGUCGAAGGCGGCGGAUUUGAAAUCCGUUGUAGGGGCGACUCUACCGGGGGUUCGAAUCCCUCCUCCUCCGCCA
rnacentral:tRNA from 5 species